UACGUAGGCAGCAAGCGUUGUCCGGAAUUAUUGGGCGUAAAGAGCGUGUAGGCGGUCAGGUAGGUCCGUUGUGAAAACUCGAGGCUCAACCUCGAGACGCCGAUGGAAACCAUCUGACUAGAGUCCGGAAGAGGAGAGUGGAAUUCCUGGUGUAGCGGUGAAAUGCGCAGAUAUCAGGAAGAACACCCGUGGCUAAGGCGGCUCUCUAGUACGGUACUGACGCUGAGACGCGAAAGCGUGGGGAGCGAACAGG
rnacentral:rRNA from 1 species